CCCAGGCACGGCCAUGCGCUAGCUGUGGCUGGGAAUAUAGCUUUCCUGUUUGGAGGGGUGUCCACCAUAUCCCAUGAGGAGGAGCAGCCAGUAUAUUUGAAUGACUUCUACAUGCUCACAGUUUCAGCCACUCACAUCACAUGGGAGGUGAUGCCACAGAAUGGGGUUGUACCCUCAGCAAGAGAAGGACACACACUUUGUGUGGUUAAAGGCAAGCUCUACCUGUUUGGAGGAGUGGCCAGUCCGCAGGCUGGAGAAUGUCUUCCUGGAGUCUACUGCUUUGACA